rnacentral:lncRNA from 1 species
UCUUGGUCGAAGAGUCCCAAUCCAGUGGGACUCUUCACCAGCCAUCAGAUUAGAUAGGAACCUCUAAUGUGUGUGACCUCGCAAGUUCGAACCUAAGCCGGUAGCACAGAAAUCAAUUCUUGUACUAAUCGAAGUGAUCAUCUAGCAAUGGUACCUGACGUCCGGAUAGGUCGAAUAGUCGUAAUCGCAACAUUCAGAACCUACGCGAAUAUGGUUACUGUAUAAUUCAUCCCUUUUGACCCC